rnacentral:rRNA from 1 species
UCUGACCGAGCAACGCCGCGAGAGUGAAGAAGGUUUUCGGAUCGUAAAACUCUGUUGUUAGAGAAGAACAAGGGAUGAGAGUAACUGUUCAUCCCUUGACGGUAUCUAACCAGAAAGCCACGGCUAACUACGUGCCAGCAGCCGCGGUAAUACGUAGGUGGCAAGCGUUGUCCGGAUUUAUUGGGCGUAAAGCGAGCGCAGGCGGUUUCUUAAGUCUGAUGUGAAAGCCCCCGGCUCAACCGGGGAGGGUCAUUGGAAACUGGGAGACUUGAGUGCAGAAGAGGAGAGUGGAAUUCCAUGUGUAGCGGUGAAAUGCGUAGAUAUAUGGAGGAACACCAGUGGCGAAGGCGGCUCUCUGGUCUGUAACUGACGCUGAGGCUCGAAAGCGUGGGGAGCAAACAGGAUUAGAUACCCUGGUAGUCCACGCCGUAAACGAUGAGUGCUAAGUGUUGGAGGGUUUCCGCCCUUCAGUGCUGCAGCUAACGCAUUAAGCACUCCGCCUGGGGAGUACGACCGCAAGGUUGAAACUCAAAGGAAUUGACGGGGGCCCGCACAAGCGGGGGAGCAUGUGGUUUAAUUCGAAGCAACGCGAAGAACCUUACCAGGUCUUGACAUCCUUUGAUCACUCUAGAGAUAGAGCUUCCCCUUCGGGGGCAAAGUGACAGGUGGUGCAUGGUUGUCGUCAGCUC